CGGCUCAUGGAAGGGAGUGAAGGAGGGGCUCUUCGUCUUGGGGGUUUUUCUAGCGCCGUCGCCGCUCUACUUUUCGAGGGUGGUUGGUUGUUUUCGCCGCCAUCUACCUGUCGGCAUUGAGCACCUCUUCCUCCGACGUUUCUCUCUUCAUUUAGAGUUCGCCUCUCAUCGUCGCCAGACUCCAUCACCGUUCUAGCAAUAGCUCCCCUCUCCUCCUCUACAACGGAUGUCGCAACCCUUGUUGCUGGCCAAGCCCCCGACCAUAGCGUCGGAUUUACCUCUCCUCUGCCAAAGCUGGCGCUCGCAGGGAUACCCAUCGGCAUCUCCGCAUGGCUAUCACCGAUCGUUAGCGCCUUUGGCUCCGCUCCCAUAUCCAGUUGCAGCCACGCAUCCCGUCGCCGGCCUCCUCACUGCCUCCACCUCCUCUCACGCAUACUACCACGCGCAGGCAACCCCCUCUCCUCUCGUCGAUAGCUCCUCAUGUCGGCAACCUGAGCGAGCAACCCUAGCGCCGACGACAUCUCUGGCGUUGAGGUCGCCAUCACCGCCUCCUUAGUGCCAGCAGCCCUUUCCCCCUCUCCACGCCGACACCACAGCGCCACCUCUCUCCCACUCCACAGCCCCGGUCACGACGACUCGAUCAGCAUCACAACUAGCUCACGGUCUACCAGAGGGUGCCCCCUAGGCCAGGGGAUCGGGAAAACCCGGGCCCUGCUUGCAGGUAGCGUUGAUCAGAGACUUUCUGACGACUUGGUCAACAUGGAAGAUAGCUCAUCAUAUCCUCCUCUUCCGGAGCAUGACGACUUGGUCAGCAUUCCAGUCGCAUUAUUUUGGUCAUUCUGUCUUCUCAGCUUUCUGACGAGAUCAGAGCCUAACUUACAUAACACACGUGUACGAUCGCUAGUAGUACAUUAAAUAAGAAAGAGGGAGAUUAUAGAAAAGUUGAUUGA